rfam:Trichobilharzia regenti genome assembly, scaffold: TRE_scaffold0000298
AUCCAGCCUGACGAGUCCCAAAUAGGACGAAAUGCGCAUCCUGGAU